AGGGUUCGAGUUCUGGCUCAGGAUGAACGCUAGCUACAGGCUUAACACAUGCAAGUCAGGGGCAGCAUUAGAUUAGCUUGCUAAUUAGAUGGCGACCGGCGCACGAGUGAGUAACGCGUAUCCAACCUUCCCCCUGCUCAGGGAUAGCCCGGUGAAAACCGGAUUAAGACCUGAUAGUUUCACUAGAUGGCAUCUGACGGUGAAUAAAGGUUUCGGCAAGGGAUGGGGAUGCGUCUGAUUAGCUUGUUGGCGGGGUAACGGCCCACCAAGGCGACGAUCAGUAGGGGUUCUGAGAGGAAGGUCCCCCACAUUGGAACUGAGACACGGUCCAAACUCCUACGGGAGGCAGCAGUGAGGAAUAUUGGUCAAUGGGCGGAAGCCUGAACCAGCCAAGUAGCGUGCCAGGAAGACGGCCCUAUGGGUUGUAAACUGCUUUUGUGCGGGAAUAAAGUCAGGGACGCGUCCCUGUUUGCAUGUACCGCAAGAAUAAGGACCGGCUAAUUCCGUGCCAGCAGCUGC
rnacentral:rRNA from 1 species